rnacentral:rRNA from 1 species
CAGGCUUAACACAUGCAAGUCGAGGGGCAGCAUUUUAGUUUGCUUGCAAAUUAAAGAUGGGGACCGGCGCACGGGUGAGUAACACGUAUCCAACCUGCCGAUAACUCGGGGAUAGCCUUUCGAAAGAAAGAUUAAUAUCCGAUAGUAUAUUAAAACCGCAUGGUUUUACUAUUAAAGAAUUUCGGUUAUCGAUGGGGAUGCGUUCCAUUAGUUUGUUGGCGGGGUAACGGCCCACCAAGACUACGAUGGAUAGGGGUUCUGAGAGGAAGGUCCCCCACAUUGGAACUGAGACACGGUCCAAACUCCUACGGGAGGCAGCAGUGAGGAAUAUUGGUCAAUGGACGAGAGUCUGAACCAGCCAAGUAGCGUGGAGGAUGACUGCCCUAUGGGUUGUAAACUUCUUUUAUAUGGGAAUAAAGUAUUCCACGUGUGGAAUUUUGUAUGUACCAUAUGAAUAAGGAUCGGCUAACUCCGUGCCAGCAGCCGCGGUAAUACGGAGGAUCCGAGCGUUAUCCGGAUUUAUUGGGUUUAAAGGGAGCGUAGGUGGAUUGUUAAGUCAGUUGUGAAAGUUUGCGGCUCAACCGUAAAAUUGCAGUUGAAACUGGCAGUCUUGAGUACAGUAGAGGUGGGCGGAAUUCGUGGUGUAGCGGUGAAAUGCUUAGAUAUCACGAAGAACUCCGAUUGCGAAGGCAGCUCACUAGACUGCAACUGACACUGAUGCUCGAAAGUGUGGGUAUCAAACAGGAUUAGAUACCCUGGUAGUCCACACAGUAAACGAUGAAUACUCGCUGUUUGCGAUAUACAGUAAGCGGCCAAGCGAAAGCAUUAAGUAUUCCACCUGGGGAGUACGCCGGCAACGGUGAAACUCAAAGGAAUUGACGGGGGCCCGCACAAGCGGAGGAACAUGUGGUUUAAUUCGAUGAUACGCGAGGAACCUUACCCGGGCUUAAAUUGCAUUUGAAUAAUCUGGAAACAGGUUAGCCGUAAGGCAAAUGUGAAGGUGCUGCAUGGUUGUCGUCAGCUCGUGCCGUGAGGUGUCGGCUUAAGUGCCAUAACGAGCGCAACCCUUAUCUUUAGUUACUAACAGGUUAUGCUGAGGACUCUAGAGAGACUGCCGUCGUAAGAUGUGAGGAAGGUGGGGAUGACGUCAAAUCAGCACGGCCCUUACGUCCGGGGCUACACACGUGUUACAAUGGGGGGUACAGAAGGCAGCUACCUGGUGACAGGAUGCUAAUCCCAAAAACCUCUCUCAGUUCGGAUCGAAGUCUGCAACCCGACUUCGUGAAGCUGGAUUCGCUAGUAAUCGCGCAUCAGCCAUGGCGCGGUGAAUACGUUCCCGGGCCUUGUACACACCGCCCGUCAAGCCAUGAAAGCCGGGGGUACCUGAAGUACGUAACCGCAAGGAGCGUCCUAGGGUAAAACUGGUAAUUGGGGC